CUCAUGUGUAGCGUGUCCAAGCAGGCAGACCUCAGUGGAGGAGCUUCUGUUCCUCUCCCCGGAACCAGUUGUGCGCACUCUGAGCACUUCCGAUCAAAGCAGGUAGUAGAAUAGAAGCUCCUCUACUGAGGUCUGCUUCCAGGGUUAUGAUCUAUACACCAAAACUGCUUCACAGUAGUUAAUGUCCCCUUACUUUUCAGUUCCUGAAAUUCCAAUGUAAAAUACAUAGCAUGAUCGUAAG